rnacentral:lncRNA from 1 species
AUGGCAAGAGCUCUGGCUUUCCUCCAGAAGCAUCAUCAGGAAGGGGAUUUGCUUGUUGGUUUAAAGGAAGAGUCAGAAGCUGUGCUGAGAAACAUGCAGGCAGAAUUUAGACUGGAACUUCACACACAGACGGAAGAAAAGAUACAAGCCAAAGAAAUGCAAGUGAUCCAAGGGACCGAAGGAGAAGAAUUAGGGAAUUUGGUGGCAUAUUUCAUCCUAUCUCAGAGACACCUGCGGCAAACAGUCGUAAUGCUGCAAGAUUGCUACAGGCUCCAGAAGGCUACACUGAGGUCCCAAAGGGAGGGCACUGGCCUGGAACAGCUUGCUGUAGAAGAGUUAUCAAUCGAUGAUGACCUGUGGGGCACGUUGUAUCUGCUGAAGAACAACACCGAGUAUACGUUGUUAGUGCUUGAAUAUAUACAAGCUGUAAGAUUAUUACAGCUGAGGGAAGCACAGUUUAAGGAAAUAGGCAGAAGCCUAAAAGGCUACCUCCAGGAGAAGGUAAAACUGAAAAUAUGUUACCUGUUGAUUUUAUUCAGAAAAUGCUAA